rnacentral:sRNA from 1 species
UUGGUGGGAAGAAGGGAUUCUGGGUUAGAAAGGGUGCAGAAGCCCGAAGUAGAAAGAGACGGGAUUUUGGUCCGGGGUGGAGAGCGAAUGCAUUGAAAAGGGCCAAGGCCCAGGAUAAGGCAGACAUUUAAAGGGAUACAGAUGCCCAAGGUAGAGCAGACACUUGAGGAGACCAGCUCAGCAAACGGAAGACACUUAAAGUGGUUCCCUCGACCCAGGACCCCCUGUUCCCAGGCUAUGGCCCCCAGUGCCCUGUAGACCUGGCGGGCCCCCCGUGCUUGCGACCCCUAUUUGGGGGUCUGGGUGGCUACUGGAGGGCCUUGCAGAGGGGCAGAGAAGGCAGGACCAUGACAUCUAGGGCCUCUGAACUUUCCCCGGGGCGCAGCGUGACGGCUGGCAUCAUCAUUGUUGGAGAUGAGAUCCUUAAGGGACACACUCAGGACACCAACACCUUCUUUCUGUGCCGGACACUGCGCUCCCUAGGGGUCCAGGUUUGCCGAGUCUCAGUUGUACCUGAUGAGGUAGCCACCAUUGCAGCUGAGGUCACCUCUUUCUCCAACCGCUUCACCCAUGUCCUCACAGCAGGGGGCAUCGGCCCCACUCAUGAUGAUGUGACCUUUGAGGCAGUGGCACAGGCCUUUGGAGAUGAGCUGAAGCCACACCCUGAGUUGGAAGCAGCCACCAAAGCCCUAGGAGGGGAAGGCUGGGAGAAGCUGUCAUUGGUGCCCUCCUCUGCCUGCCUGCAUUACGGCACAGA